rnacentral:rRNA from 1 species
CGUAGGGGGCGAGCGUUGUCCGGAAUUACUGGGCGUAAAGGGCGCGCAGGCUGUUAUGCGAGUCUGCUGUGAAAUGUACCGGCUCAACCGGUGCCUUGCGGCGGAUACUGCAUAGCUGGAGUACUGGAGAGGGAAGUGGAAUUCCCGGUGUAGCGGUGUAAUGCGUAGAUAUCGGGAGGAACACCGGUGGCGAAGGCGGCUUUCUGGCCAGUUACUGACGCUCAUGCGCGAAAGCGUGGGGAGCAAACAGGAUUAGAUA